rnacentral:rRNA from 1 species
UUUUCCAAAGGUUGACCUCGGAUCAGGUAGGAAUACCCGCUGAACUUAAGCAUAUCAAUAAGCGGAGGAAAAGAAACCAACAGGGAUUGCCUCAGUAACGGCGAGUGAAGCGGCAACAGCUCAAAUUUGAAAUCUGGCCCUAGGCCCGAGUUGUAAUUUGCAGAGGAUGCUUUUGGUGCGGUGCCUUCCAAGUUCCCUAGAACGGGACGCCAGAGAGGGUGAGAGCCCCGUACAGUUGGACACCAAGCCUUUGUAAAGCUCCUUCGACGAGUCGAGUAGUUUGGGAAUGCUGCUCAAAAUGGGAGGUAUAUUUCUUCUAAAGCUAAAUACCGGCCAGAGACCGAUAGCGCACAAGUAGAGUGAUCGAAAGAUGAAAAGCACUUUGAAAAGAGGGUUAAACAGCACGUGAAAUUGUUAAAAGGGAAGCGCUUGUGACCAGACUUGCGUCCGGUGAAUCACCCAGCUCUCGCGGCUGGGGCACUUCGCCGGCUCAGGCCAGCAUCAGCUCGCUGUCGGGGACAAAAGCUUCAGGAACGUAGCUCUCUUCGGGGAGUGUUAUAGCCUGUUGCAUAAUACCCUUCGGCGGGCUGAGGUACGCGCUCCGCAAGGAUGCUGGCAUAAUGGUCAUCAGCGACCCGUCUUGAAACACGGACCAAGGAGUCAACCUUAUGUGCGAGUGUUCGGGUGUCAAACCCCUACGCGUAAUGAAAGUGAACGCAGGUGAGAGCUUCGGCGCAUCAUCGACCGAUCCUGAUGUUCUCGGAUGGAUUUGAGUAAGAGCAUAUAGGGUUGGACCCGAAAGAAGGUGAACUAUGCGUGUAUAGGGUGAAGCCAGAGGAAACUCUGGUGGAGGCUCGCAGCGGUUCUGACGUGCAAAUCGAUCGUCAAAUAUGCGCAUGGGGG